GCUGCGGACAAAAAGCCACUGUGCCAGCUGGCUACAAAGCAGAUGCGACAGGCUGGAGCGCAGCCAGCGAGAGCCUGCGGAGGACUCAACUGGAACAUCUGAAAGAUUUCCCACCACAGGAGAAGAAAAGGAGAACUGCACAAGGGUGGGUUUCCAUGGAAGCAUCAAGUCUCACGCUCAGAAAUGCAGCAUCCCUUCAGAGCUGCAUCAGGAAAGCCUUAAUGCGUGGGACUGCAGAGAGAGUUUAAAGAGAAAAAGAGAGGGAAGAAAUAAAAAACCCCAACAAUAUCCCCAACAAAUCCAGCAUCAGCAAGGAGGCUGAAAUGACUGUGUUCUGUAUCACUUAAAGUUUGCAAAAGGGGCGACCUCUCAACAGGAAUGGACGAGACCCUGGCUCUGCCACCUGGAAAACGUGCUCUCUCCAGAAGAUUGCUGAGGGGUUACUGUGGCCCGUGUCAUCUUAUCACAUUCGUUAGGUGUCUUCAUACUACUGUACUGUCCUUUUGGACGCAAGUAUCUGUAAACAUUAUGUUUGAUAUUGGGUUUUAUCCAGUGGUGGAUAUAAUGCUUUCCAGCUGGUGGGCAUCCCAAUAGGAGGUCUUGGAGCAGAUCUGCACGUGUUUGUAUGUGUAUAACAUAUGGCAGGUUUGGGAGAAAAGUAUUGUAUAUUAACAAGAACACUCUAGCUUAUUCAUCAUCAAGAUUAACACUGACAAGAUGAGACUAUUUAGAUGUUAUGUGUUGGAAAACUGGUGGGGGCGUGGGGGGGAAGCCAU